UACGGAGGGGGCUAGCGUUGUUCGGAAUUACUGGGCGUAAAGCGCGCGUAGGCGGACCUGCAAGUCGGGGGUGAAAGCCCGAGGCUCAACCUCGGAACUGCCUUCGAUACUGCGGGUCUCGAGUCCGGGAGAGGAGAGUGGAAUUCCUGGUGUAGCGGUGAAAUGCGCAGAUAUCAGGAAGAACACCCGUGGCGAAAGCGGCUCUCUAGGACGGUACUGACGCUGAGACGCGAAAGCGUGGGGAGCGAACAGG
rnacentral:rRNA from 1 species